UCCGUAGGUGGAUAAUUAAGUCAGGGGUGAAAGUCUGCAGCUCAACUGUAGAAUUGCCUUUGAUACUGGUUAUCUUGAAUUAUUAUGAAGUAGUUAGAAUAUGUAGUGUAGCGGUGAAAUGCAUAGAUAUUACAUAGAAUACCAAUUGCGAAGGCAGAUUACUAAUAAUAUAUUGACACUGAUGGACGAAAGCGUGGGGAGCGAACAGGAUUAGAUACCCUGUAGUCC
rnacentral:rRNA from 1 species